GUUUGGAAUGGAUUCGGCUAGUAGGAUUUUAAAUGGGUUUGGAUAUGGAUAGAUCAAAUUUUGUGGGUACCCUACCCAUUGCCAUUCUUAUAAAAUGGUAGGUGAAGGAAGGAAAGGUGAGAUCGGGCAUGGUGGAGUGGGCCAAAGAUGCCCUGCGACUGUAGUUCUGUGAGGAGACCAAGAUGAUGGCUGAGAUGGGAGGUGCACAUGGUCCCAAAAUGGCGUUGGCUCGGCCAGAUCAAAGCCGUGUUUCUAGGGGGUGCCAAAUUUUUGUUGGUUGGGUCCAGUGGACUAACUGCGGCUCAUAUGGAACAGUUUCUUGCUUGGAAUUUUUCAUUCAUGCAAUCUCUUCAUUCGAAAUAAAUGAUGGGAUCACCGAUUUGGCAUACCCUAG
rnacentral:lncRNA from 1 species